rnacentral:rRNA from 1 species
GAUGAACGCUGGCGGCGUGCCUAAUACAUGCAAGUCGAGCGAACAGACGAGGAGCUUGCUCCUCUGACGUUAGCGGCGGACGGGUGAGUAACACGUGGAUAACCUACCUAUAAGACUGGGAUAACUUCGGGAAACCGGAGCUAAUACCGGAUAAUAUAUUGAACCGCAUGGUUCAAUAGUGAAAGACGGUUUUGCUGUCACCUAUAGAUGGAUCCGCGCCGCAUUAGCUAGUUGGUAAGGUAACGGCUUACCAAGGCAACGAUGCGUAGCCGACCUGAGAGGGUGAUCGGCCACACUGGAACCGAGACACGGUCCAGACUCCUACGGGAGGCAGCAGUAGGGAAUCUUCCGCAAUGGGCGAAAGCCUGACGGAGCAACGCCGCGUGAGUGAUGAAGGUCUUCGGAUCGUAAAACUCUGUUAUUAGGGAAGAACAAAUGUGUAAGUAACUAUGCACGUCUUGACGGUACCUAAUCAGAAAGCCACGGCUAACUACGUG